GAUGAACGCUGGCGGCGUGCUUAACACAUGCAAGUCGAACGGGGAUAUUCCAGAUGAGAGCUUCGGCAGGAUUCGGGAGUAUUCCAGUGGCGGACGGGUGAGUAACGCGUGAGCAAUCUGUCCCGGACAGGGGGAUAACACUUGGAAAUAUCUGCUAAUACCGCAUGAUGCAGUUGGGUCGCAUGGCUCUGACUGCCAAAGAUUUAUCGCUCUGAGAUGGCCUCGCGUCUGAUUAGAUAGUUGGCGGGGUAACGGCCCACCAAGUCGACGAUCAGUAGCCGGACUGAGAGGUUGGCCGGCCACAUUGGGACUGAGACACGGCCCAGACUCC
rnacentral:rRNA from 1 species